rnacentral:rRNA from 1 species
CCCAGACUCCUACGGGAGGCAGCAGUGGGGAAUAUUGCACAAUGGGGGAAACCCUGAUGCAGCGACGCCGCGUGAGUGAAGAAGUAUUUCGGUAUGUAAAGCUCUAUCAGCAGGGAAGAAGAAGGACGGUACCUGACUAAGAAGCCCCGGCUAACUACGUGCCAGCAGCCGCGGUAAUACGUAGGGGGCGAGCGUUAUCCGGAUUCACUGGGUGUAAAGGGAGCGUAGACGGCCAAGCAAGCCAGGGGUGAAAGCCCGGGGCCCAACCCCGGGACUGCCCUUGGAACUGCAUGGCUGGAGUGCGGGAGGGGCAGGCGGAAUUCCUGGUGUAGCGGUGAAAUGCGUAGAUAUCAGGAGGAACACCGGCGGCGAAGGCGGCCUGCUGGACCGCGACUGACGUUGAGGCUCGAAAGCGUGGGGAGCAAACAGGAUUAGAUACCCUGGUACA